rnacentral:rRNA from 1 species
UACAGAGGGUGCAAGCGUUAAUCGGAAUUACUGGGCGUAAAGCGUGCGCAGGCGGUUUUGUAAGCCAGGUGUGAAAUCCCCGGGCUCAACCUGGGAAUGGCAUUUGGGACUGCAAGGCUGGAGUGUGGCAGAGGAGACUGGAAUUCCUGGUGUAGCAGUGAAAUGCGUAGAUAUCAGGAGGAAUACCGAUGGCGAAGGCAGGUCUCUGGGCUGACACUGACGCUCAUGCACGAAAGCGUGGGGAGCAAACAGG